rnacentral:rRNA from 1 species
AUCGAAACCAGGUGCUGCAUGGCUGUCGUCAGCUCGUGUCGUGAGAUGUUGGGUUAAGUCCCGCAACGAGCGCAACCCUUGCCAUUAGUUGCUACGAAAGGGCACUCUAAUGGGACUGCCGGUGACAAACCGGAGGAAGGUGGGGAUGACGUCAAGUCCUCAUGGCCCUUAUGGGUGGGGCUACACACGUCAUACAAUGGUUGGUACAAAGGGUUGCCAACCCGCGAGGGGGAGCCAAUCCCAUAAAGCCGAUCGUAGUCCGGAUUGUUCUCUGCAACUCGACUGCAUGAAGUCGGAAUCGCUAGUAAUCGUGGAUCAGCAUGUCGCGGUGAAUACGUUCCCGG